GCCAAACCCACAAACAAAUUGUUGUUGAAUACCCAAGAAAGCUCAAAAUCAGAUUCAACACCAAGGAUUUCUUGACUAGCCAAAAAAUAUAUUUAGGUAACCAUGGAAUUCCAAAAAUGCAAAUAAAGGAUUCUUAACCCAUUUCAUAUAUAGAUGAAAGAACUAAGAAUAUUAAUGAUAAUUAAUCUUGCAAGCAAUCAAACUUGACAAGAAAAGUAGUUCUUUGAAGAACCAAAGGGAUCAAAUUCUCCCUUCAGUAGUAUUUGUCCAAAAGUUGCUAAAAGAAGAAGAUAAAGAGCGUUAUAUAGGUGGA
rnacentral:misc_RNA from 1 species